rnacentral:tRNA from 1 species
AAGAGAGGCAGGUUGCGCUAGGGACUGCUAACCCCCAAGCCCCAUGGUUCAAGCCCAUGGCUCACUUA